rnacentral:rRNA from 1 species
UACGUAGGGUGCGAGCGUUAAUCGGAAUUACUGGGCGUAAAGCGUGCGCAGGCGGUUUUGUAAGCCAGAUGUGAAAUCCCCGGACUUAACCUGGGAAUGGCAUUUGGGACUGCAAGGCUUGAGUGCGGCAGAGGAGACUGGAAUUCCUGGUGUAGCAGUGAAAUGCGUAGAUAUCAGGAGGAAUACCGAUGGCGAAGGCAGGUCUCUGGGCUGACACUGACGCUCAUGCACGAAAGCGUGGGGAGCAAACAGG